CCCAGCUUCCCCACGGUGUUGUGUGAGCCUUCACUGCAACCACUCCAGGACCCCAGCACUGUUCAACUCCAGGGAUAGCUGCCUACGAGGGAGUCUGGAAAAUGUAGAAAAAUGUCGACUUUGAGCUGUCCCCAUUGCCUGCUUAAGUGGACUCCGGCUUCUCUUCACAAUGCAGCCCAAUCUCGUUUUCAGUGUUUCCUGUGAAAUCUGGCCCUUUACUUCAGAAGAGUGCUGAAGUGUCAACACAUAAUCGAGAGAUUGUUUCCAGACGCUCAACACUAUAGAGAAAGACCCGACAGGGGAAGGGACAAAAACAGAAAUGUGGUGAACGCUGUGAGAUCAUGGGAUCACCGAGGAGUAAACGUGAGCCGGGAGGAAGUGAGAAGAGAGAGGAGAUGGAAGACCAACGUGUGGUUUCGAGAAGAACCUUAAGACUCGGUUUUGGGGAAAGUCUGCCAGCCCGCACAUGUUCACAAGAUCUCUCCGC